rnacentral:ncRNA from 1 species
UAACGGGGUGCCUAGCGCGAUAGGCUGAGAUUAGGAUGCGCUCGAUCUUGAGACCCUUUGAACCUGAAACGGGUAAUGCCGGCGAAGGGAACUGC